GCCCGUGCAGGUCUGUGGCGGGGGCGAGCGGCUACGCCCAACGGGGCGGGGCUGCGGCGGCGUCCUCGAUGUUCUUCUGCGGCGCGUGCGGCAAGGGUUACUCCUGGGCCGCGUCGCUCAAGGGGCACCAGCGCUACGAGUGCGGAAAGGAGCCCCAGUUUGCGUGUGACUACUGCCCGCUCAAGUUCAAACUGCGGGGCAACCUAAAGCGCCACCUACGUCAAAGCCACAACAUGGCCCUACCCAAGGGUCGUUGGUAGAACGGAUGGAGUGGAGCGGAGGAUUUUGGUGCAUUCAGCCUCCACGCGCAGCCGGCGAUGGAUCCUCUGGGGGGCUUCGGGCCUGCUUUUGGUCGCCCCAGGGGCGAGUUUGAGUGCCCCACAUGCGGUAAAAAGUACCUGCACCGGUCGUCGCUUUCCCACCAUACGCGUUUCGAGUGCGGCAAGGAGCCCCAGUUCAAGUGCCCGCACUGUCCACACCGCUGCAAGAGGAAAGGGAACUUCAGGCGCCAUCUUCUUACUCACGACUCGACUGACUGACAUGCAAAUAUACGCCAAGUUGGCCGAGCUGAAUGUUUUAUUUCUCCCCUUCACCCCGAGCCGCCCGCCCGCUGGGUAGGCAACCCAUCCUACUCCAGAUCAGGCUGGCCCCCGGCUCACUUUCCUCAUUCGCUGUACGGUCAACUCUGGCCCGUCCGACGCCCCCCAGGCAAGGGCUUCCAGUGUAAGGACUGCGGCAAAGUGUACAGCCACCAGCCUUCGCUCUGCAAGCACAG